AUUGAACGCUGGCGGCAGGCCUAACACAUGCAAGUCGAACGAGUGGCGGACGGGUGAGUAAUGUCUGGGAAACUGCCUGAUGGAGGGGGAUAACUACUGGAAACUGUAGCUAAUACCGCAUACCCUCAGAUGUACCCAUAUGGGAUUAGCUUGUUGGGGGGGUAACGGCUCACCAAGGCGACGAUCCCUCGCUGGUCUGAGAGGAUGACCAGCCACACUGGAACUGAGACACGGUCCAGACUCCUACGGGAGGCAGCAGUGGGGAAUAUUGCGCAAUGGGGGCAAGCCUGAUGCAGCCAUGCCGCGUGAAUGAAGAAGGCCUUCGGGUUGUAAAGUACUUUCAGCGGGGAGGCGUUAACCGCAGAAGAAGCACCGGCUAACGCCGUGCCAGCCGCCGCGGUAAUAC
rnacentral:rRNA from 1 species